GAGGAUUUAGCUCAGUGGUAGAGUGCUUGCCUAGCAAGCACAAGGCCCUGGGUUCAAUCCUCA
rnacentral:tRNA from 1 species